UGGGGUGUAGCCAAGCGGUAAGGCAGCGGAUUUUGAUUCCGCCAUACGGAGGUUCGAUCCCUCCCACCCCAGCCA
rnacentral:tRNA from 2 species